CCAGUAUGUAGGGUACAACAGGGAUUCCUUUCCUCACCUGUGUCACCUUCCCAGUGCUGCCGUAUGAGGUCCAGGGGUCCCCAUACUUUUCUCCCGUAUAGGAGUUCGAAAGGGGAGUGUAGCGGAGUGCUGGUCUUUCACAGACAAUCUCCGCUGGUAAUCCAAAUAAGGCUCAGGAACAAGUAAUAAAACCCAAGAGAAUUAUAUCCACGAUUAGUAAAGCAAUCCAAAAGUAUCCCACACGUUUCCCAAUGACUGGACGACACACAGCAUCAGGAGCAGAACUAAACUUUUAUUCCAUACAGUCAUCUUUUAAGCAAUUCUCCCAUGCGAGGGAGACACCCAUAAUAAUUAGUACAGUAGCCAAUAAUAUUAAAGUUACCACCCACACUUCUCCUCCCCUCAGCAUGACACAUAAUCCUAUUGUGCAGGACACAGUUUUCCCCACUUUCUGGAUGUACCCCUUCUGUUGGGGGUACACCCCUAAAUCAUACUCAAAACUCACCCAGAUCGGACCAGUGGUUCGGGAGUUAUGUGUAAGGGAAGUUUUGACCGACCGAACACACCCAGCAGAAGCCAAAAUCGCUUCCAUGAGUUUUGGCCUUGCGGCCGGUCUAUGUUCGGGAUAAAAAAUACACGAAAAUCCCUGCUAUCCAGGGCUAAGCGGGGGUUCGGUAAAAUCCCCUCAUUCAGGAGUUUAUUUUAAGCGAAUGAGGGGCUUAUUCGUGGUUCUGUUAGUUAGUUAUGGAGCCAUGGAGGUCUCAGCGGUGUUCGGGUAAUCGAGUGUCCGAUUUAGGUUCCAGUCACUCGACGACCAAACACCGCUGAGUGUUCGUAUGCAAGAUGGCCGCCACCAUGUGUUCAUAUGCCGAACGGCAGCCACCCAACAAGUUCACACGGAGACACAGGCAAUUACCAAUUAGUUUGCGGUUACAAGGCAUUAUCACUGGGGUAGUCUGAUUGUUUGGUAGUUUCAUUCGUAUGAACAGAGUGAUUU